rnacentral:rRNA from 1 species
UCCAGAGGUCUCAACCGUUGUUCGGAUUCAUUGGGCGUAAAGGGUGCGUAGGCGGAUCGCUAAGUCAGGGGUGAAAUCCCAGGGCUCAACCCUGGAACUGCCUUUGAUACUGACGAUCUGGAGAUCGGGAGAGGUGAGUGGAAUUCCGAGUGUAGAGGUGAAAUUCGUAGAUAUUCGGAGGAACACCAGAAGCGAAGGCGGCUCACUGGCCCGAUACUGACGCUGAGGCGCGAAAGCGUGGGGAGCAAACAGG